UCUUCUGCUGCCUCUUUGCUGGUUCAUACCAUAUCAUAACCUUACAUUUAUGCAACGCUACCUGGUUAGCAUUACAUGUAUUCGUGUCCUGUUUGUUCGACUCCGUGUUCCCGUCCUGUUCCUGUUUGUUUCCGCAUGUCAACGGCGUUAUCAGAGCUGCUGACAUGCGGGUCAGUCAUCAAGCUCGCUGUUUCUCUCUCCUGUUCAUCCUCUGGUUCCUGUGUCCCUCCUGGUGUCGGCUCCCCUGCUCAUCCUCUGGUUCCUGUGUCCCUCCUGGUGUCAGCUCCCUUGCUCUUCCUCUGGUUCCUGUGUCUCCCCUGCUGCCAGCUCUCCUGCUCAUCCUCUGGUUCCUGUGUCCCUCCUGGUGUCGGCUCCCUUGCUCUUCCUCUGGUUCCUGUGUCUCCCCUGCUGCCGGCUCUCCUGUUCAUCCUCUGGUUUCUGCGUCCUUCCUGGUUCCUCGUUCCUUGUCCCUCCUGGUCCUCUCGGGUCUCCUGCUCGUCCCUCCCUGGUGGUCUUCUCGUCUUCCUACCACCCAGCCUUACCUGUGUUGUUGUUCAUUAAACCACUUUCUUUAGCUCCUA